rnacentral:tRNA from 1 species
GUGGGUAUAGCUCAGUGGUAGAGUGCGUGCUUAGUGCUCGCGAGGUCCUAGGUUCAAUCCCCAGUACCACCA